GUGUCAGCAGCCGCGGUAAUACAGAGGUCUCAAGCGUUGUUCGGAUUCAUUGGGCGUAAAGGGUGCGUAGGUGGUGAUGCAAGUCUGGUGUGAAAUCUCGGAGCUCAACUCCGAAAUUGCACCGGAUACUGCGUGACUCGAGGACUGUAGAGGAGAUCGGAAUUCACGGUGUAGCAGUGAAAUGCGUAGAUAUCGUGAGGAAGACCAGUUGCGAAGGCGGAUCUCUGGGCAGUUCCUGACACUGAGGCACGAAGGCCAGGGGAGCAAACGGGAUUAGAUACCCCGGUAGUCC
rnacentral:rRNA from 1 species